CCUCCUCUCUGUUUCUGUCUUUGGUGGGUGUCUCUCAUGUUUGAGUCGGUGGGUCAGAGCCUUCCUGAUGUCUUCAUGUGUGUGUGUGGUGGUGUGUGUGUUGUUGUGGUGGGUGCAGGUGCUGAAACGUUGUGCAGUGAGCGUGCUUUAAUGAGCAGGGCCAUCCCUCCCUCACACACACACACACACAUACACACACACACGCACACACACACACACACACACACACACGGUCAGGUGAUCACAGAGCUGAAGGUGUGAAGUGGAGCUGGUUUAGGAAGAAUCUGAUCUCAUGUUUUAUCAUCAGGGGGGAGGGUCCAAAGAUUUGUGACAAUCAGCCAAUCAGGUCGGCCCGUUUCACACCCUUUAAAACUACCCCCCCCCCCAGUUAAUGAUGCACUGACAGCUGGCAGAGCGAGAGUCCAGAUGUGCUCCUGAGCGUGUGCUGACAUCCUGAUAGAGAGGAGAGUCUGUCACAGUGAACAAGCUGCACAUUAAACACACACACACACACACACACACACACACACACACACACACACACACACACACACACACACACACACACACGUAUAACCCCUUUAUUCUGCCUGGACUCCCCGGUCAUGCUCACACACAGUGAUGAUUUAACUUUAAAUGUUUGCAGGCGGCUCUGUGUCGAAUCAGGAUAAUCUGAGAACUUCCUGUUUGACAGUUUGAGUGUUUGAUGAAUGGCGUGAAUGUUGGCGAGGUCGUCUUUGUUUCAGAUGAGGAUUAAAGGGAUAUUCUGGUGUAAAAUUAAUUUAUGGUCAAACCCACCGUAACACCGAGUUAGACCCCGCCUCCAGAGAUGAAUGUUGCCGACCACUUGCUUCUCUAGUUAUACCAACUUUAGUAACGACCUCAGGAUAGUAAUACAGAGAGACACGCCCUCAACCAAAACGCCACUCUAUAGCCACAAAUAAUGCUCAGAACAGCACCUAACUUCAUUAACAGGACAUAUAGGGUCACAGACAGAGUACUAUAUUCAGAGUUGUUCUAACUCCUAAGAAAACAAACUUAAGCGGGGGCGUUUCUCCACCUCUGUAGUCUAUAAGCUGGGCCAAUAAACUUCUACUGUAGUAAAAUGAAAAGGUAAAGGUGUUUUUAUUGAGCCGAAUUAUCAAUAAAAUCAUGAUUUUGUUAACAGGUAUGGAUUUAUGUGCUGUUGAGUUAAUAUAUUUGAACAAGAGCACAGUAAAGUUAAAUCAGCUAAUUUUCCAAUGAGGUUCUGUUACUAAACUGAACUACACCAUGUUCUACUGAGGUUAGUACAUAUAGGGUCACAGCCAUAGUACUAGACACCAAACAUCUUUUUAACUUUGACUCAUUUCUUUAGUAAAGAGACUAAACACAACUCACCUACUCUCUUCCAGCAGACGUUUGUUUGUAGAGAGACCUCAGGCCAGUCUAUUAUGGACUACAGCGGGGUGCCGCAGCUCAAGGAAGAACAUUCACGAUCAUUUCUUUAUGGAAAUACAAUCAGACCGAGACGCUAAGACAGAAGAACUACCGCGUCUGUAAAAUGAUUAAUAUGGUGAUUAUUACUUCAAGGAAAUGAUGAAGAAAUGAUCAUAAAUGUUCUUCCUUGAGCUGCGACACCCCGCUGUAGUCUGUAAUGGACUGCAGUCGUUACUAAAGUUGAUAUAACUAGAGAAGCAAGCGGUCGGCAACAUUCAUCUCUGGAGGGGGGUCUAACUCGGUGUUACGGUGUGUUUGACCCUAACUUAAUUUUACAACUGAAUAUCCCUUUAAAUGUUGAAGUGUGUCGGUUUGUGGGUGAUUAUUUUCAAAAAGUGGUUUAGAAAAUUAACAUUUUUGUUUUGAGAUAAGUGUCUAAAAGACUUGAAUGAUUCUUCCUGUGAACAGUUUCAUUUCUAAGUGUUGUAUCGGUGUAUUUUUAAUCAAGUUUCUCUUUGUCUCAGUUCAUGGCUGUUCCGAUGUUGUCCUCCUUCUUCUUGAUGGAAAGUUUGGCAGAAAUCAGUGUAAAAUAAAAAAAAGAAAUGAUCAUAUUUAAACAUGAAAACUGUAGAAAAUAUUCUAUGUAAAAAAGAUGUAUAUGUGAGAUAUCCUUGUGAAUAAUAAAAUUUAGUCCAUUUAUAAUGAUGUCACUA
rnacentral:lncRNA from 1 species